UCCUCGAUAGUCUAGUGGUGAGGAUAUCGGCUUGUCAUUCAUCGCAACACGCCGGGGACCGGGGUUCAAUUCCCCGUCGAGGAG
rnacentral:tRNA from 1 species